CCUUACGGGUUGUAAACCUCUUUCGGCAGGGACGAAGAUGACGGGACCCGACGAACAAGCCCCGGCUAGCUCCGCGCCAGGGAGCCGCGGCAAUA
rnacentral:rRNA from 1 species